UACGUAGGGUGCGAGCGUUGUCCGGAAUUACUGGGCGUAACGAGCUCGUAGGUGGUUUGUCGCGUUGUUCGUGAAAUCUCACGGCUUAACUGUGAGCGUGCGGGCGAUACGGGCAGACUGGAGUACUGCAGGGGAGACUGGAAUUCCUGGUGUAGCGGUGGAAUGCGCAGAUAUCAGGAGGAACACCGGUGGCGAAGGCGGGUCUCUGGGCCGAUACUGACGCUGAGGAGCGAAAGCGUGGGGAGCGAACAGG
rnacentral:rRNA from 1 species